rnacentral:rRNA from 1 species
GCAUAACGCGAAGAACCUUACCAAGGCUUGACAUCCCUUGACCGCCAUAGAGAUAUGGCUUCCCUUCGGGGCAAGGAGACAGGUGGUGCAUGGUUGUCGUCAGCUCGUGUCGUGAGAUGUUGGGUUAAGUCCCGCAACGAGCGCAACCCUUAUCAUUAGUUGCCAGCACUUCGGGUGGGAACUCUAAUGAGACUGCCGGGGAUAACUCGGAGGAAGGUGGGGACGACGUCAAAUCAUCAUGCCCCUUAUGUCUUGGGCUACACACGUGCUACAAUGGCCGGUACAAAGAGCUGCGAAAUCGUAAGGUAGAGCGAAUCUCAAAAAACCGGUCCCAGUUCGGAUUGUGGGCUGCAACCCGCCCACAUGAAGCCGGAGUUGCUAGUAAUCGCGAAUCAGCACGUCGCGGUGAAUGCGUUCCCGGGUCUUGUACACACCG